GCACUGACCUUUCCAGGUUAUAAACAGCACAUUCUGAGUGGAUGGAUCCCUUUGGCUUUGGAUGGAUCCCUUUUGCUUUCUUCACCCCACGGGAAUCCACUGAUUUGAGAUGGAUCUGAUGGUGGACAAAACUUUCCCAGCGUCCUCCAGGGACGAGGAUUUGAGAGGUGCACAAGGAAUUCAUCCAGUCUGAUCCACACACAGGGAUGCUCCGAGUGUUUCCUUAGGGAAUUCCUGUUGCUACGGAGCACUUUAAACGCAGAGCUUUGGAUUCCACCCCCAGGAAACAGAAAUCCUGCUCGUUUCAGCCUGGCUUUGGUUUUUAAACGAGACAGGACGGUGCUAAUCAAGCUCUGGGAGAUUCACUUGAAGAAACCCCUGAUCCCUGCCAGCACUUCUUAUUUCUGGGACACCUGUGCAAUAAUGCCCUGAGCUCCUCCAAACUCCUUUGGCUGC
rnacentral:lncRNA from 1 species